GCUGUGGUGGCCGAGUGGUUAAGGUGUUGGAUUAAAAAUCCAAUAGGGUUUCCCUGUGCAGGUUCAAAUCUUGCUCACAGCG
rnacentral:tRNA from 1 species